rnacentral:lncRNA from 1 species
CAAAAGGAUCCUUUCCUGAGUCCUGAUGUUUGUGCUGCACUAAGGACAAGACCCCCGAGUGGCUGAGGGGAAGAAAACACUGCAAACUGAUUUUCAAGCACGAUCUUGUCUUCAUACCCCUAUCCCAAUCCCCCAGGGACUGGGCCUAUCUUUCUUUCCCAGGAGGAAACCAGGCCCAGGCCAGGGUCAAGCCUUGGGAGACUUUCAAAUCAUUGCUGUCCUUUUCCGUUCUGUUCCUCCAGAGAACACAGCAUGGGAGAGCUUCCUCCUGGCCCUCCAAGACUGGAUUUUGGCUAGGAACCAGACUCAGAAGAGACAGCUUUGCUGAGGAUCAAAUGGAUACCCCCUAAAAUGGAAGCAGAGGCUGUAGAAGACCUAGGAGAUGGAGGAGGUGUAGGAUUUCAGAGCAUCAUCGGUGAUUAAUCUUACAUGUCCUUGGAAUUGACGGCACUUGGGUAUGGAGCGAUGCAUCCGUGCUCUUCCAAAGGACCCAGGUUCUAUUUGCAGCACCCACAUGGCAGAUCAUAACCAUCUGGAAUUCCAGUU